CCCGCACAAGCGGAGGAGCAUGUGGUUUAAUUCGAUGAUACGCGAGGAACCUUACCUGGGCUCGAACGUAAGAUGACUGUAGGUGAAAGCUUACAUCUCUUCGGAGCAUUUUACGAGGUGCUGCAUGGUUGUCGUCAGCUCGUGCCGUGAGGUGUCGGGUUAAGUCCCAUAACGAGCGCAACCCUACCUUUAGUUGCCAUCAGGUAAUGCUGGGGACUCUAAAGGAACUGCCUACGCAAGUAGUGAGGAAGCGGGGAUGACGUCAAAUCAGCACGGCCCUUACGUCCAGGGCUACACACGUGCUACAAUGGCCGAUACAGAGGGCAGCUACCUGGUGACAGGAUGCAAAUCUCCAAAGUCGGUCUCAGUUCGGAUCGGAGUCUGCAACCCGACUCCGUGAAGUUGGAUUCGCUAGUAAUCGCGCAUCAGCCAUGGCGCGGUGAAUACGUUCCCGGGCCUU
rnacentral:rRNA from 1 species